rnacentral:tRNA from 1 species
GGUAGGGUGGCCGAAAGUAGGCGGCAGGUUGUAGCCCUGCCCAUGCGGGUUCAGCUCCGUCCCUAUCA